rnacentral:rRNA from 1 species
UACGUAGGGGGCAAGCGUUGUCCGGAUUUAUUGGGCGUAAAGGGCGUGCAGGCGGUCUUGUCAGUUUCAAGUUCCAGGUGGGGGCUUAACUCCCACAGGCCUUGGAAAACUGCAAGACUUGAGGACUUCAGAGGGAUGCGGAAUUCCAGGUGGAGCGGUGAAAUGCGUAGAGAUCUGGAAGAACACCAAAGGCGAAGGCAGCAUCCUGGGAAGAACCUGACGCUGAGGCGCGAAAGCUAGGGGAGCGAACGGG